rnacentral:rRNA from 1 species
AGAGUUUGAUCCUGGCUCAGGACGAACGCUGGCGGCGUGCUUAACACAUGCAAGUCGAACGGAAAGGCCCUUCGGGGUACUCGAGUGGCGAACGGGUGAGUAACACGUGGGUGAUCUGCCCUGCACUUUGGGAUAAGCCUGGGAAACUGGGUCUAAUACCGAAUAGGACCGCGCGCUCCAUGGUGUGUGGUGGAAAGCUUUUGCGGUGUGGGAUGGGCCCGCGGCCUAUCAGCUUGUUGGUGGGGUAAUGGCCUACCAAGGCGACGACGGGUAGCCGGCCUGAGAGGGUGACCGGCCACACUGGGACUGAGAUACGGCCCAGACUCCUACGGGAGGCAGCAGUGGGGAAUAUUGCACAAUGGGCGCAAGCCUGAUGCAGCGACGCCGCGUGAGGGAUGACGGCCUUCGGGUUGUAAACCUCUUUCACCAGGGACGAAGCGCAAGUGACGGUACCUGGAGAAGAAGCACCGGCCAACUACGUGCCAGCAGCCGCGGUAAUACGUAGGGUGCGAGCGUUGUCCGGAAUUACUGGGCGUAAAGAGCUCGUAGGUGGUUUGUCGCGUUGUUCGUGAAAACUCACAGCUUAACUGUGGGCGUGCGGGCGAUACGGGCAGACUAGAGUACUGCAGGGGAGACUGGAAUUCCUGGUGUAGCGGUGGAAUGCGCAGAUAUCAGGAGGAACACCGGUGGCGAAGGCGGGUCUCUGGGCAGUAACUGACGCUGAGGAGCGAAAGCGUGGGGAGCGAACAGGAUUAGAUACCCUGGUAGUCC